GUUAAAGAGUAGAAGGCCAUGGACCUUUGGGCCACUUCCUCAUGCAACUUAUUUUGUGUCUUAAAGUUCUGCUUAUGCUUGUUUUUUUUUCCCCCAGAGGAAAGGGGAUUGGUACUGGGGAUUGAAUCCAGGGAUGCUCUACAUUCCCAGCACUUUUAUUUUUAAUUUUGAAACACAGACUUUUAAGUUAUUGAGGCUGGGCUCAAACUUAUGAUCCUCCUCCCUCAGCCACCUGGGAUUAUAGGCAUGCACCACCAUACCCAUCUUCACACCUUGUUUUAGUCAGCUUUUUUGCCACUGUGACUAAAGGACCCAACCAGAACAAUGGUAGAGGGUGGAUUUGAUUCAUUUGGCCUUCAGGUGAAAUAUAAAGAAUUGGUCACUGUUGAAGUUGAGUGCUGUUAGAUGUCUAAUUAAGUAAGGAAAGCAGAUAAAGAGGCAGGUAUUGAUAAGUAUUCUCUAUAUGCCAGGCAUUGUGCUAGUUAGUUGCCUGUAUUUAUUUAUAAAUUUUGGGAUUGUAAUCUGUUUACAAUUGAGGAAUUGGAGCUCAAACUAGUUUAGUGACAUACUUAGUUUAGAAAAGAAUAAAUUAUUGAUUCAUGCAACAUGAAUCACAAAAUAACCAUGCUAAAUUAAAGAAGCAGAUCCCCAAACCCCCCAAAAGAGAACAUACUGUUGAGUCCAUUCAUAGAAAGUAAAAACUAAAUUUGUAGCAACGUAAGGCAGAGAAGAGAUUGCAUGGAGAUGGGAACAGCAAGUAAGGUUGGGAGGAAUUAUCAAGGGAAUGUGAGGAAAGAUUUUUUUGGGUGGAGAUA
rnacentral:lncRNA from 1 species